GGGCCGUCUGAGCAGUGAUCCAGUGACAGUCGAAAGCUGAUUCUUCAGUCUUUAUGCUACAGAACUUCCAUGUGAUCUGGGGAGAGUGGAGAGAAAGAAAGGGGGAGAGGAAAAGAGAAACAUCAAUAUGAGAAAGAAACACCCAUUGGUUGCCUCCCUCUACGUGCCCAGACUGGGGACUGAAGCCUUAACCUAGGACUCAUGAAUCCUAAGCCUCACUCUUCACAAACCAGCUGUGAGACUUCAGUCAUGAAACUGGUUAUGAUCAUAAAUCCAUGGUUCAUCCUUUAUCCUUUUUAGUGGAAGCUUUAUAGACUGGAUUGUACCCUGCCAAAGAAGAAAACUGAAGCAUCUGACAGCAGAAAAAUUUAAGAAAACUUCAGUGAGAAAAAAGACAUUGCACAAACCAUCAUUUCUAAACACCUCAUUCUACCACUGAGGUUCAUAUAGGUGGUUUAACUUGUCCAAAAUUAUACAACUAUCCAAUGGCUUCUGGGAAAGUAAGCUGUGCUCAACCUUUAUAGCUCACAUCACACAGAGUUUCAAGCAUUUGAUUUUCCUGGUUCAUGACAUCAGCCACAUGACUGUGAUAAAAUCACCUCUGUUAGAGAUGUGAGGAGACAUAGAGGUACUAAGAAGAAUGUCAGGUGUUAGGAUCUAUGUCCUUAAGUCCACCCAACAUUUUCUUCUUUCAUUGGACACCUACUAUGCUUCAGAUACUUGGUUAAGGCCUGGGGUUACCUAGACAAAAUACAUGACCUCUGCUUUCAAAGAGCAUGCAGUUUCCUGAGGGCAGAUAAAUAAAUUCUAAUCCAGUAUCAUAAUGCUCCUAUCUUUUGCUCCUGGCAUGUGAUCACUUACAAAGCAAUGGCUGCUUUUCCCAGGAAGAAAACAUCAGCCGCAGUAGAAGCAGCAGCAACAGCCAAUCACGGAAUCAUCAAGUGAAGAGGCACUAACAGCUUUGCUUCCCAACUAAGGAACAUCUUAUCCAAUUCCCCUCCCACCCACCAUCACCACUUGUAGGUUUGGAACCAAGAAAGGCUGUGGAAACUAAAGAUAAUGUGCUAAUAGGAUACUAAAGCAAAACCACCCUUACAUCCCACUCCCCAGAGGUGGUUUGUGUAAACACAUUAUUCUAGAGUACUGUUUCAUUUUAUGACUUCAGCUGCUGGCAUUUUGCUAGGUUUAAAAGUGUUGAUUAUCCAGGAAACUCAGUGAUACCUUUUGGCAAAGGGCUCAAAGCAGUCAGAUCAACUUAUCUCACUGUGUUUUUCUUGUCAAAAUAUUAGACUUUUGGUUUUAUUGGAAACUCACAUGAAGUCUCCUUUUCAAUAAAUAACCUGAGAUUGCAUUUAAAAUUAAGUAGGAGAGGAAGACUGGAAAUCAGAAGAACUAGGAUUUGGUCCUGAAUUUACUACUUAUUACUUGCAACCCUUGGACAAGUCCAUUUACCUAUGGGCUUUCUCUUCUUUCUUUCCUUUUCUUUUUUGUUUUUUUUUGUCAAAUUACUUUUAUUUUAUUAUUUUCUGUUUAUUUUUCUUAAUCUUUGUAAUAAGAAGAGUGGACUAAAUUAUCCCUUAGGUCUCAAACACUUCAGGCACUGUACAUAUUCAAAAUUUGGUUACUUCAUUUCAGAGAAUUCUUAUUGAAUGUGUAUCAUGUGCCAGUUCUGCAGUAGGCACUGGGGGAAAGAUGAAAGCCACAACUCUCUUCAAGCAGCCCACAGACUCACUAGAGUCAAGCAGUUACACAGUGAGUUCAGAAGGAGGCGUGGGAUCCAGAGGUGGGCAUGAGAGGCUGUGAGGCACACAAGAAAAGCACUGUGUCCCUCCUGAUGAUCCCUCCCGAUGCUUCUUCACUGAAGAGGAUCAGAACAUGGCACCUUAAAAUAUGUCACUCUGGCCUAGCAAUUGUUUUCGGCUGAAAGCACUUGAGGAAGAGUAGUAGCUGUAAGGAGGGCUUCCCUUUCUCCCCUUUCUUCCUUAAAAGUAGGACGCAAAUUUCCCGUGAGAAGGGUGUCCUCUCUGUGCAAGAAAGAGGUGAACACUCAACACCCACAAUGGCGAGAUUACACCAAAAUGAAUUUGUACAAAGAAGCCUACUAAAAUAUCCCUUUUCUUCCAUUUGUUUUACCCAUAUAUUUCCCGGUUACUUUCCUAUCAUUCACCACCCCAGCCCAGAUCCUUUUUGCCUUGUAUUGUCUCGUAUUCUCAAUUUAUUGUUCUUUUUGGAAAUGGUAUUUAAGUUCUCAAGUCUAUAUACUUCUUUUGGUCUUCAUUUCUUUUCUAUGAAAGCUCCUGUAUCAUGUUCAAAUACUAACAUCCAAUAAAAUUUGCACGCUUUUCUCCUAUUAAUCAGACUGUUGUCAGCAUAAUUCUCAGGUCCAGCCACAGAAUUUGAAAAGUCUUUCCUCC